rnacentral:lncRNA from 1 species
CUUCUGGUACUCUCAGUGCAUACCGUAGCGCGUACUUUAUUCUUCUGUAACUGUAUCUUCAGUUGCUUGUUCGAGACAAGAAUCCUAGCUUUACAAUCAUGCUCACUACUCUUGGCUCGGGAAGGACAAUUCCCUCUCUCACUCAUAGACGCCAAUAACAGAACUAGCAGACAAUGCAGGAACAGGCCAUUCUCGUCGACA